GUUUCUGAUAGCUCAACUGGUAGAGCCUUUGGCACGUAAUUGAAUGAUCCGGGUUCCAAUCCCGGUCUGGACU
rnacentral:tRNA from 1 species